GGCGCCAUAGCUCAGUUGGUGAGAGCGCUCGACUCAUAAUCGAGAGGUCGACAGUUCAAAUCUGUCUGGCGCUA
rnacentral:tRNA from 1 species